UGGAGAGUUUGAUCCUGGCUCAGAUUGAACGCUGGCGGCAGGCCUAACACAUGCAAGUCGAACGGUAGCACAGAGAGCUUGCUCUCGGGUGACGAGUGGCGGACGGGUGAGUAAUGUCUGGGAAACUGCCUGAUGGAGGGGGAUAACUACUGGAAACGGUAGCUAAUACCGCAUAACGUCGCAAGACCAAAGAGGGGGACCUUCGGGCCUCUUGCCAUCAGAUGUGCCCAGAUGGGAUUAGCUAGUAGGUGGGGUAACGGCUCACCUAGGCGACGAUCCCUAGCUGGUCUGAGAGGAUGACCAGCCACACUGGAACUGAGACACGGUCCAGACUCCUACGGGAGGCAGCAGUGGGGAAUAUUGCACAAUGGGCGCAAGCCUGAUGCAGCCAUGCCGCGUGUAUGAAGAAGGCCUUCGGGUUGUAAAGUACUUUCAGCGGGGAGGAAGGYGAUAAGGUUAAUAACCCYURUCRAUUGACGUUACCCGCAGAAGAAGCACCGGCUAACUCCGUGCCAGCAGCCGCGGUA
rnacentral:rRNA from 1 species